rnacentral:misc_RNA from 1 species
AAUUUCAUAGUUAAAAUUCAUUUAUUCUUACUUCUCUAAAAUAUCUUAAAUAGUAAAAACCAAUUUCUUUUGUUAAAUUGUUUAAUUGUUAAACUCAAAGGUUUGAGACAACAAUAUAUUUAUGAAAUUAUUAGACUGUCAAACUAAAAAUAAGUUUUAUCCACUCCAAAAAUGAUAUUAAGAGUGAUAAAAUGAAAUUAUAACUAGUGUUUCUUGUUAGCAUAAUAAAAGAAAAUCUAACUGAAAAAAAAUACUAACAUGUAAGAAUUAUAAUAUCAUGAUUUUUGAUAAUUUGAAGAACUAAAUAUAAUAAUUGAUAUACCCAAUUAUUAUACUCAACUCAACUCAACUCA